rnacentral:rRNA from 1 species
AUAUCAAUAAGCGGAGGAAAAGAAACCAACAGGGAUUACCUCAGUAACGGCGAGUGAAGCGGUAACAGCUCAAAUUUGAAAUCUGGCUCUUUCAGGGUCCGAGUUGUAAUUUGUAGAAGAUGCUUUGGGUGUGGCUCCGGUCUAAGUUCCUUGGAACAGGACGUCAUAGAGGGUGAGAAUCCCGUAUGUGACUGGCUGCCUUCGCCUAUGUAAAGCUCUUUCGACGAGUCGAGUUGUUUGGGAAUGCAGCUCUAAAUGGGAGGUAUAUUUCUUCUAAAGCUAAAUAUUGGCCAGAGACCGAUAGCGCACAAGUAGAGUGAUCGAAAGAUGAAAAGCACUUUGGAAAGAGAGUUAAACAGUACGUGAAAUUGUUGAAAGGGAAGCGCUUGCAACCAGACUUGCCUGUCGUCGAUCAUCCUGGGUUCUCCCUGGUGCACUCGGCGGCGGUCAGGCCAGCAUCGGUUUCGGUGGUGGGAUAAAGGCCUUGGGAAUGUGACUCCUCUCGGGGAGUGUUAUAGCCCUCGGUGCAAUGCCGCCUACCGGGACCGAGGACCGCGCUUCGGCUAGGAUGCUGGCGUAAUGGUUGUAAGCGACCCGUCUUGAAACACGGACCAAGGAGUCUAACAUCUAUGCGAGUGUUUGGGUGUUAAACCCAUACGCGUAAUUAACGUGAACGGAGGUGAGAACCCUUUAGGGUGCAUCAUCGACCGAUCCUGAUGUCUUCGGAUGGAUUUGAGUAAGAGCAUAGCUGUUGGGACCCGAAAGAUGGUGAACUAUGCCUAAAUAGGGUGAAGCCAGAGGAAACUCUGGUGGAGGCUCGCAGCGGUUCUGACGUGCAAAUCGAUCGUCAAAUUUGGGUAUAGGGGCGAAAGACUAAUCGAACCAUCUAGUAGCUGGUUCCUGC